GAUGAACGCUGGCGGCGUGCCUAAUACAUGCAAGUCGAGCGAACAGACGAGGAGCUUGCUCCUCUGACGUUAGCGGCGGACGGGUGAGUAACACGUGGAUAACCUACCUAUAAGACUGGGAUAACUUCGGGAAACCGGAGCUAAUACCGGAUAAUAUAUUGAACCGCAUGGUUCAAUAGUGAAAGACGGUUUUGCUGUCACUUAUAGAUGGAUCCGCGCCGCAUUAGCUAGUUGGUAAGGUAACGGCUUACCAAGGCAACGAUGCGUAGCCGACCUGAGAGGGUGAUCGGACAGACUGGAACUGAGACACGGUCCAGACUCCUACGGGAGGCAGCAGGAGGGAAUCUUCCGCAAUGGGCGAAAGCCUGACGGAGCAACGCCGCGUGAGUGAUGAAGGUCUUCGGAUCGUAAAACUCUGUUAUUAGGGAAGAACAAAUGUGUAAGUAACGAUGCACGUCUUGACGGUACCUAAUCAGAAAGCCACGGCUAACUACGUG
rnacentral:rRNA from 1 species